rnacentral:rRNA from 1 species
UUCCGGUUGAUCCUGCCGGAGGCUACUGCUAUCGGAAUUCGAUUAAGCCAUGCGAGUCGAGAGGGUUCGGCCCUCGGCUGACGGCUCAGUAACACGUGGAUAACCUGCCCUCAGGUAGGGGAUAAUCUCGGGAAACUGAGGAUAAUACCCUAUAAAUAUCCUUUGCUGGAAUGCUUGGAUGUUCAAAGGCAACGCCUGAGGAUGGGUCUGCGGCCUAUCAGGUUGUAGUGGGUGUAACGGACCCACUAGCCCGCGACGGGUACGGGCCUUGAAAGAGGUAGCCCGGAGAUGGACUCUGAGACACGAGUCCAGGCCCUACGGGGCGCAGCAGGCGCGAAAACUUCGCAAUGCGGGAAACCGUGACGAGGGAAUUCCGAGUGCUCAUACAAUGUAUGGGCUUUUCUGAUGUGUAAAAAGCAUGAGGAAUAAGGGCUGGGUAAGACCGGUGCCAGCCGCCGCGGUAAUACCGGCAGCUCUAGUGGUAGCCACUUUUAUUGGGCCUAAAGCGUCCGUAGCCGGUCAGGUAAAUCCUUGGGUAAAUCGUACAGCUUAACUGUGCGGCUUCCGGGGAGACUGCCUGACUUGGGACCGGGAGAGGUUGGAGGUACUCCUGGGGUAGGGGUGAAAUCCUGUAAUCCUAGGUGGACCACCGGUGGCGAAGGCGUCCAACCAGAACGGCUCCGACGGUGAGGGACGAAGGCUAGGGGCGCAAACCGGAUUAGAUACCCGGGUAGUCCUAGCUGUAAACGCUGCAGACUUGGUGUUGGAGAUCCCACGAGGGUGUCCAGUGCCGGAGAGAAGUUGUUAAGUUUGCCGCCUGGGAAGUAUGGCCGCAAGGCUGAAACUUAAAGGAAUUGGCGGGGGAGCACCGCAACGGGAGGAGCGUGCGGUUUAAUUGGAAUCAACGCCGGU